UAGCUAAGGCUCUGUAUAACGCUUAGCAGGAGAUCCGAGGGGAUCCGACAUAGCUAAGGUUCUUCUUAGCAGGAGGUCUGAGGGACCCGACAUAGCUAAGGCUCUUCUUAGCAGGAGGUCUGAGGGACCCGACAUAGCUAAGGCUCUGUAUAACGCUUAGCAGGAGAUCCGAGGGGAUCCGACAUAGCUAAGGUUCUUCUUAGCAGGAGGUCUGAGGGACCCGACAUAGCUAAGGCUCUUCUUAGCAGGAGGUCUGAGGGACCCGACAUAGCUAAGGCUCUGUAUAACGCUUAGCAGGAGAUCCGAGGGGAUCCGACAUAGCUAAGGUUCUUCUUAGCAGGAGGUCUGAGGGACUCGACAUAGCUAAGGCUCUGUAUAACGCUUAGCA